UACGGAGGGUGCAAGCGUUGUCCGGAUUCAUUGGGUUUAAAGGGUGCGCAGGCGGGAAGCUAAGUCGGGGGUGAAAGACGGUUGCUCAACAAUCGCAGUGCCUUCGAUACUGGUUUUCUUGGGUGAAGUUGAGGUAGGCGGAAUGGAAGGUGUAGCGGUGAAAUGCGCAGAUAUCAGGAGAAACACCAGCGGCGAAGGCGGCGCUCUGGGCCGGAACUGACGCUGAGGAGCGAAAGCGUGGGUAGCAAACAGG
rnacentral:rRNA from 1 species